rnacentral:rRNA from 1 species
AUUGAACGCUGGCGGCAUGCUUUACACAUGCCAGUCGAACGGUAACAGGCCGCACGGUGCUGACGAAUGGCGGACGGGUGCGUGAUGCAUCGGCACGUGCCCAGUCGUGGGGGGUCACUACUCGAUAGGGUAGCUAAUACCGCAUACCAUCUAAGGAUGUAAGCGGGGGAGCGUAAGGCCUCGCGCCAUUCGAGCGGCCACUGUCAGAUUAGGUAGUUGGUGGGGUAAAGGCUCACCAAGCCAACGAUCUGUAGCUGGACUGAGAGGACGACCAGCCACACUGGGACUGAGACACGGCCCAGACUCCUACGGGAGGCAGCAGUGGGGAAUUUUCGACAAUGGGCGCAAGCCUGAUGCAGCAAUGCCGCGUGCAGGAAGAAGGCCUUCGGGUUGUAAACUUCUGUUGUACGGAACGAAACGGCGUUGGUGAAAACCCGGAGCUCAUGACGGUACCGUAAGAAUAAGCACCGGCUAACUACGUG